rnacentral:lncRNA from 1 species
AAAUGCACAGUUUUUACUUCAAAAUGAUUUUUUCGAUCAGGAAUGCAUUAGAUAUUUACCUAAAGUGGAACUCAUGUUAGUCUCAAGACGUUGGUCUCUGACUUAAAAGGUAAAUGAUUGAACUCGAAGAGUUUCUAAUCGUACUAACUAUUUAAUUGUACAUCCAACAAUUAAAAUAACUAUGGAUUAAUGGCAAAUUCAGAGCUCAUAAACUUUAUAUCUCGACUCUGACUCCGCUUCUCCCUCUUAUUCUAUCAUCACAAAAAUUGAACAUAUCAAUACACCAUCUUUGACCUGAGUGAAGGUUGUUCUCUUUGAAUAUCUUAAACACUACCAAAUAGUUUUGGACCCAUUCUUACAGUGUUUCUACUUUCUUGUAAUUGGUGUAGUCAAGCAGACAUCAAAGGUAAGGUUUCUCAACUUCCUCUUCAUAGAUUUUUUCUAAUCUGUUCAAGUAUAAGAAAAUAUAGUUUUAAAGAUAGACAUAACCAACUUCUUGCAGUAGUUAUAUGCCUUUUUUGCUCAAGUUCAAACUAACAUUCAAAUAAUGUGGAGUAAUUGAAUUCUGCAACUUACAUUUUGCUACAAAUUUUAAAGUUCACAUUAUAGAAUUACUGUUCUUCCAUUAUAUAGCAACUGAAUUGGAAGAUGGGAAGGGGUGGAUGCUAUAAUAACAACAUGAACUACAGUGAAAAAGCCUAAAGCUUUUGGUUCAUUUUAACACAACCCCGUCGGCUAUCGCACCUUGACAUCAAUAGGAGCCAAUUCUGCUUGCUUGCACACUUCCAAGUUUUAUCUGCAAUAUUGUAUUGUAAAUGAGAAACAAAUCAAAGAGUAAGAUAGAUAAAACGAACAAAAGGAUUUGAUUAACAUAUGGUGGUGUAAGUAGUUAAUGUUUUGUGGACGGUCAUAUGUAGUUAUCUUUUAGGCGACCUGAAUGAAUAUACCUUGUCUUUGAACUCCCAAGAGUAAGUUCUAGAUCAUCUGGAACACAAUCCUCAUGGAUCCUCUCUCCUUCCCACGGCUUCACCAUCCCUGCAAUGUUGCUUCCGAAUGCAAACUCAUCAGAGAUCAUCACUUCAGCCAUGGGAACAUCAGCAUUACGAUCC